GACGAACGCUGGCGGCGUGCCUAAUACAUGCAAGUCGAACGCAGUGGGGACGGGUGAGUAACACGUGGGUAACCUCCCAUCAGAGGGGAUAACACUUGGAAACAGGUGCUAAACCGAUACUGAUGGAUGGACCCGCGGUGCAUUAGCAAGUUGGUUCGGUAACGGCUCACCAAGGCCACGAUGCAUAGCCGACCUGUGAGGGGGGUAGGCAACACUGCGACUGAAACGCGGCACAGAUUCCUACGGGAGGCGGCAGUAGGGAAUGUUCGGCAAGGGACGAAAGUCAGACCGAACAACGCCGCGUGAGUGAUGAGGGUCUGCGGAUCGUAAAACUCUGUUAUUAGGAGAGCGGUACCGAAUCAGAAAGCCACGGCUAACUACGUGCCAGCAGCCGCGGUAAUAC
rnacentral:rRNA from 1 species